GCACCCGUAGUUCAACUGGAUAGAAUACCAGAUUUCGGCUCUGGGGGUUGGGGGUUCGAAUCCUCCCGGGUGCGCUA
rnacentral:tRNA from 1 species